GACGAACGCUGGCGGCGUGCUUAACACAUGCAAGUCGAACGGAAAGGCCCUGCUUUUGUGGGGUGCUCGAGUGGCGAACGGGUGAGUAACACGUGAGUAACCUGCCCUUGACUUUGGGAUAACUUCAGGAAACUGGGGCUAAUACCGGAUAGGAGCUCCUGCUGCAUGGUGGGGGUUGGAAAGUUUCGGCGGUUGGGGAUGGACUCGCGGCUUAUCAGCUUGUUGGUGGGGUAGUGGCUUACCAAGGCUUUGAAGGGUAGCCGGCCUGAGAGGGUGACCGGCCACAUUGGGACUGAGCUACGGCCCAGACUCCUACGGGAGGCAGCAGUGGUGAAUAUUGCACUAUGGGCGGCAGCCUGAUGCAGCAACGCCGCGUGCGGGAUGACGGCCUUCGUGUUGUAAGCCGCUUUCGCCUGUGACGAAGCGUGAGUGGCGGUUAUGGGUAAAGAAGCACCGGCUAACUACGUUC
rnacentral:rRNA from 1 species